rnacentral:misc_RNA from 1 species
UACGGAGGGGGCUAGCGUUGUUCGGAAUUACUGGGCGUAAAGCGCGCGUAGGCGGCUAGCGUAGUUAGGUGUGAAAGCCCCGGGCUCAACCCGGGAAUUGCACUUGAUACUGGCUGGCUAGAGUUCGGAAGAGGAGAGUGGAAUUCCCAGUGUAGAGGUGAAAUUCAUAGAUAUUGGGAAGAACACCAGUGGCGAAGGCGGCUCUCUGGUCCGAUACUGACGCUGAGGCGCGAAAGCGUGGGGAGCAAACAGG